GACGAACGCUGGCGGCGUGCCUAACACAUGCAAGUCAACUUGACUGAAGGAGCAAUCUGACAGUAGAGUGGCGCAAGGGUGCGUAACGCGUAAGUAACUUGCCCAAGGUAAGGAAUAACGUCGAGAAAUCGGCGCUAAUACCUCAUAAUGCAGCGGAUCCGCAUGGAUAUGUUGUUAAAGGUUUACCGCCUUGGGAUAGGCUCGCGUCUGAUUAGUUAGUUGGUGUGGUAACGGCACACCAAGGCUACGAUCAGUAACUGGUCUGAGAGGAUGAUCAGUCACACUGGAACUGAGACACGGUCCAGACUCCUACGGGAGGCAGCAGUGAGGAAUAUUGGGCAAUGCUCGAAAGAGUGACCCAGCAACGCCGCGUGGAGGAUGAAGGUAUUCUAUAUCGUAAACUCCUGUGAGAGCAGACGAAAGACAGAUUAUUAAUCUGGAUGACUGUAUGCUCAGAGGAAGCCCCGGCUAACUACGU
rnacentral:rRNA from 1 species